CCAGUUUUCCCCUAAUGCGAACAUCCGAACAUCUUAUUAACAUGGCACAUUUGUUAAAACUAAAGUCAGUGUUGACACAUUACUCUUAACUCCAGACGUCAUCAGAUUUCCCACUCAAGUUCUUUAUCUGUUCCAGGAUCAAAUCCAGGAUACCACACUGGACUUAGAAAAUCUUCAUUUUUCAUAAGCUCUUUCAGUGGAAGAGAGGCAGGGGAGCUGAGGACCACAUUUUGAGAAAACACUCAGACAUUCAGAGAACCAAACCAAAAUUGCUACCUCCCCAAGUUGGGGAGGUAAGUGCAAUUUUAAGGAAGAUAAUUGAUGGAGCAGGUGUAAAUAAAAGAAAAAGCAAGGAUAACGCUGGAAGAAUUUUGUUUAAAGAGGGUCCUAAGGGUCUUGGGUGAAGCAGCUGGUGAAAGAGAAGGUGGAAAAACACUUGAAGCUCUACCUGUGGAAGAGUCAGUUAUCACACCAAGGAGACACAGGAGCCACCAGCUUGGGCUGACAGGCACAAUAACCAUUUAUUCAAAGAUGCCAUCUAAUGCACUAUGCCACUAAGUACUGUGGCUGGACAGUGAUUUUAAGUGUAACAAAUUAUCUUCACUUUGAAAAGAGCUUAAGAGAGAGAAAACAAAUAUUACAUCUUAAACAGAGGCAUGAAUCAAACCAACUUAUGAACGGUGAAAGCAACUUAUCAAAAUGUCUUCGGACAUAUCAAGACUGACUUAAACCAUGUUCUGUGCCCUUUCUUUGUUGAGAAGAUAAACUGGAAAAUGCAAGCUAUUGUCCUUUGCCAAGGAUCGAAGAUCAAAAUAGUACUUGGCAUAAACACUUCCAGAAACUUCGACGUUAUAGUCAAUUAGCUGCAAAAACUGUCUUUCAAGCUCAUUCCUGUGGGAGGAGAAACACAAGAAAACCAACAUGGGACAAUGUUAGUCCACUGGGCUAUCUUCAAAAACAUUAUUCUGAUGUAAGAAAUGUGAUAAAGCAAUUAUAAGUUCUAGUUCUUUAAGAACACAUGAAAAAGCACACACUAGAGAGAAACCCUAUUAUGUAAUAAAUAUGGGAAAGCCUGGAA